rnacentral:rRNA from 1 species
UACGAAGGGGACUAGCGUUGUUCGGAAUUACUGGGCGUAAAGCGUGCGCAGGCGGUUUUGUAAGUUUGUCGUGAAAGCCCCGGGCUCAACCUGGGAAUUGCGAUGAAGACUGCAAGGCUUGAAUCUGGCAGAGGGGGGUAGAAUUCCACGUGUAGCAGUGAAAUGCGUAGAGAUGUGGAGGAACACCGAUGGCGAAGGCAGCCCCCUGGGUCAAGAUUGACGCUCAUGCACGAAAGCGUGGGGAGCAAACAGG